UCCGGCAGUAAAGCGAGGAGGUGAGCACGUUCCUGGCUUGAGAAAACCUCCGGGCUCUGACAGCCAGCUACUCGGCGGGGCUGCUGGACGACCAGGCGGAAGGGUAAGCCUCCCUCCGCUCCACUCCGCCCCGCCCCGGCCGAGUAGCCCCGCCCCCUCACCGCCCCUCCUCUCCCGGCGCACCGGGCGAUCCUGGCUGUUGGUGUCCCGCAGUCGGCGGCGGGAGCAGGAAGCAUGCGCGGUGGCUGGGAGCUGGGCGCCGCGGCUGGAGGCCCGCUGCUGCUGUGCGCCGCGCUGCUGGCCGUGGGCUGCGCACUGGGCCUGCGCCUGGGCCGCGGGCUGGGGGCUGCGGACCGCGGGGCGCUAGCCUGGCUCUGCUUCGACGCCCUGGUGCACUUCGCACUGGAAGGCCCUUUUGUCUACUUGUCUUUGGUAGGAAACAUCACAGAUUCUGAUGCCUUGAUUGCUUCAUUGUGGAAAGAAUAUGGCAAAGCUGAUGCAAGAUGGCUUUAUUUGGAUCCAACCAUUGUGUCUUUGGAAAUUCUGACUGUCGUUCUGGGUGGGUUUCUGGCAUUGGUUCUCAUUUAUGCCAUCGUCAAAGAGAAACAUUAUCGGUGUCCUCUUAUCCUGCAGAGAGCUGCAAGUUGUGGUCCUGGGUGCAAAAUUGCUGUCACCUUUCAGAGGUACUUGUGAACGGUUUGGAGGGUGAAAGCAUGGAGACCGUUUUCAGCUGUUCCUUUUUCACUUUUGCUGUUUUGUGGCGACAGAUUCCUGGUAUGAAGCCCUGAAAUAUGUCUCCAGUGGGUCCUCGUGAAGAGGACGCUAUGUCGUUGACUGCAGAAUUUAGUACAACUCGGGCUGUUUCUAACAGUGUCCCCCACGUGGGCUGAAGGCAGGACGCCAGAGAGAGAGUCUGUAAAAGCCUUUCUAUGAGGGAUUACCCAGUUGUUUCCAGUACUUUGCUCUCUGCUGAUCUGGCUCAAUCCGAGGGUAAACAGAGUAGAGAAAAAUGGAUGGGCUGCAUAUCCUGCAGGCAGUCCUGAAAACAUGAUUUUUCUCAACUGGGUUUUUGCUGAGUAUUGGAUGGGAGAGAAAUGGAGAUUAGAGACUCUGACAGGAACUUGGAGGACAGAUACAUUCUACUGCCAAGUAAGGACAGAUCUAAAUGUUUUAACCCUUAAGUGAGUUGGAAGAAAGAUUGAUGUCCCCAUAUGAAGUCUAACAGGUCACUGAGAAUAGAAGCCCAUCUCCCAUGACAGGGAGGUAGGGGCAAGGAGACAUAGGUAAUACUGUAUUUCAUUAACUCUAAGAUAGAUAUUUUCCACCCACAUUUUAACAUUUUAAAAAUUAGAAUGUAUUCUACAGUUGAUGUGUCAUAAUUGAGUUGGCAGUGUUUUUUCUUACAAAAAUAUAAUGCAUCUUAUAAUUGAUGGCACCUUAGAUUCAAUUAAAUAAGUCACUGCCUUCAAUAUUGUUCCUCUUUUCAAGCCUUGAUAUCUCCAACUACUUGGAGGUGAUAGUUCAAAUAUAUCUUAAGUCUAAAUUUUGCUUGGGACCUUAGGAAUCAUGUACCUCCCUAUCUGCCCCCCUCCCCCCGCACACCCCGCUUCUAUCACAUUCGUUUCCUAGGAGCCGGCCAUAGAAGGCAUAUCUGGAUGAACAUAUCAAAUGAUUUGCAGUAAGUUAUGAGUUGCUUAUAUUGAUGGUAACUAGAUUCCUUCAGACUGUCCAUCACUCCCCAGUAUUGUUUAUGCUAUAAAUUUCCUCUGCACACUCUGCCUUUCCAGAGAAUGUUGAGGCAACUAUCAGCAUAACCCAUCUAAAAAUCAGAGUCUAAAUGAUGACGUUUUCUUGUAUUUAAUUAUGUCAGCUUUACAACUCCUGGAGUGCUAGCACUGAGGCUCCGGGAAGAAUCUGCAGACUGCAAUAUGAAAUAGUCAAAUAAAACUUUGUCCAAACAAGGCUUGAUGGAAACCAAAAUGCACAGAGUUUGGAGAAGAAUCCUUUGUUUCCUUUUUUUUUUUCAAAUUAUUCUUAAAAUCCGUGAGCACUUUUUUGUCUGGUUUGAAAGCUGGAGUUUGGAUCUAAAAAUAAAUAAUUUAUAAUGAGAAUAAUUGGGCAAAACCAUGAAUGAGAAAGGUUAACUGUUGCUGUCCUUACUUUUACUAAAAUGCCCUUGAGGUAAUAGGGAGGGGCCUGGCAGGCCUCCUCCACCCACUGUGCUUUUGGAAACUCUACAUCUUCUCUCCCUUUCCAGUGGCAGACCCGACCUGACAAAAUCCAUAUCCCCCCCCCCCACCCCGCCACUUCACUGCAGGAAGCAAAUCACAUCCAUUAAUUCACAUUAAGAUGCUAAUAACUGAUAGUGGUUUGAUGUAUUAUCUGUCCCGAAUAUAUUUGCAUUAAAAAAAUAUACAAUUGAUUCAUGUCCAUUGCUGAAAAAUGGAAAAUCCAGAUAAGCAAAAAGAAAAAAAUAUCAUUACCCCCAGUAUCAUCAGACAGAACCACUAUUACAAAUUUAGUUUCCAGUUCUCAAGCUCUUGUCUGUGCUUGUAUUAACAUUUGGGGGAGGCUUUUAACAUUUGAAGAAGGACUUUAACCUCCCCCCUUCCUUCCUCUCUGUCCCUUGCCCCAGAUUUAUCAUCCAAGAAGGAGCAGUUCUACAUGUAUACACAAAACCGACUGGAUAGUAUUACAGAACACUCUCCCAUUCUUGAGAAAUUCGUGCGCUUAUAGAGGAUGACAGGUAGCAGUUAUCAUUUAUUUGGUUUAUGUCCACACAGAUCAAGUUGACAUCUUAAAAUAUUGGAUUGGCCACCUCCCAACUCUUCAAGGGAGGGAUCCAGUAUGCUGAGCGUGCUGCAGUGUUACUUUUUAGGUGUUUAAUCCCUUCCCCUCCAGAAGCUUUCCCUCAGUCCCCUAGGAGUCAGAAGGGGAGGAUUCUGAAUCCUUGUAGCCCUUGUCUGUGUCACUUAAGUGGCCCUGUAUUGUUUUGUUAUUUUUGACAUCCACCUUCCCAACUACACAGGGGCCCCUCAAGGCCACGCUUAGAAUCCUAGAAUCAUGUGUUGUUUAAAGGGGCCUUGGAUAGGUCCAGUUCGUAUACGAGGCGACUGAGGCUCAGAGGGGUUAGAUAACCUGCCCAAGGCCACAGAGCUUUUCAGUGAACUAGAACCUAGUUCACUUAAAAGUACUCUUUCUAGCCCAACAGUGUUAGACAUGUUCCCAGAAGCCUCCAAGCUAUGAAAAUUAUUCAAUUUUGUGGAAAAAAAAAUUUAACCUCAGCACAUUUCUGAUCAUCUAGGUCUAUUCAUUAUACUUGAGUAGCCUCUCAAUUUCAUUGUUCUGAUUUUGUGUUUUGUAUUGACCUGUAAGUAUAUUUCACUGGUUGGACCAAGGGGUCAGGUGGCAGCAGUUAACUUUAAUGCUUUGGUUUUUCUAGGGGGAGGGGUGACAAAGUGGAGGACACGCUCUCAGGGUCCCCGCUUUUUCAAAUUUGAGCAACACUCCAGCACAGCACAUGACUCCUGGUUCCCCACAAAUGUGUUUGCUGAUGAUGCAUUUUAGUUUAAAAAUAAAUUAAAUAUUCUGUCUUGGCCUCUCAUUUCUGAUUCACUGUAUUGUGCUGAAAGUAAGUGUGAACAGAUUUUUGGCAUUUCUUGGUUGCAUUUUGGGAGUCGGGCAGAUUUUGGUACUGGGGGUGGGGAUGGGAGGGUGGGAUCGAAUCACUAAGAACUGGAAGCAGGAAAUGGAUCUCACUGGUGUGCCCCUGAAUGCCCACCGUUUGAACUGUCUCCAUAAAGUCAGUGCUUGUCCGGAGAUGGGACCACAAAUAUUCAUGCUCCCUGCAACAGUGACAUCUGGUGGCCCUGGGGUAAUAGGACAGCAGUCGAGUGGCUGAUCUGUGGGUUUUGAUGAGAUGACCUUAUUCUAUAUAUACUUGUCGCCAUAGGAGCCACUGCCCGUUCCCAGGGAGCCCCGUUUCCUCCUGUGACACACCCACCUCCAAUCACCCUACACCCAGGAAGCACCUGCAGCAGCGCCCCUGCUUCCUGGGGGCACUGUCCUCCCAGGCCCCCUGGCCGCCGGGCUGGGAAGAAGUGGACUUGCCCCAUGUGGCGCGUGUCAGCCACCAGUGGCCACGUCAGGCCGGGCCUGGCCUGGAUUCUGGUGUUCGAGGGCCAGUGAUUUACCGCCUGCCUGUAAAUCACUGGCAGCAGGUGGCUGGGGUAUUUUUAGUGUCUGGAGCCUUUAGGAGCAGGGUUGGGUGUGGGCCGGAGGCAGUGGUGAGGUCUGGGGGAGUUAGCUCUUCUAAGGUUCAAGUUGAAAGCUUCCUAAUCGGGGUUGGGGGGUGGUCUGUUUCCUAACCUCCUGUAGGCGUUCAGGUUCUUGGUACGUCUUCUUGAAUCUGUCUGCCUUUUUCCUUUGCUUGGUCAGUUUGUAAGCAUGAACUAGAGAAAAGUGGAAACCUUUGGGAUGCCAAGUUGUUUGGUAUCUAGGAGAACACUGGGUACUAUUAACGCCCUGCACCUGUAUUUAUUCCACUUCAAAGCUCUUUUUCUGUUUGUUGUACUAUCUGAUCCUCACGAUAAUCCCUCACGCUCCGUGGACAGGGAUUAUCAUCCUCCUUCUACAGAAGAACCUGGCCACGAAAGGUUCUGAACAUACGACAUCGCUGCUGCCUCCGUGUGAGAGACAAUCUCAGAAUCAACAAUUAAACGUGCCAGGCGCUCAGGCCUGGAGCAGAACAACGGCCGAAACCUGGGGCUUCUGAGCAGGCACAUCAGAGAGAAUAAAAGGUAAAAAUUAAGAAGCCUGUGGGCCGGGAAGCUUUGUCAGUCUGACCAUCUGAGUCUGAGUUUGAGUUACUUUCCCGCUGCUGUUACUUGGUGGCGUCAGGGCUUUUGUGAUUCCUUGUCCUCGGAAUCAUUUUGUUUCCUUUCUAAGGAAACAUUCUGCUUUGCUUCAGAGAAGAGGGAUUUUCGUCAGCACUGGAUGGAACGUUGUCAGCACCAGGAGAGACCAGAAGAAACUGGGAAAAUAAGUGACAGAGCCUCCUGCGGCGAGGGAGCUGGAAACAGCUACGACUCUGAGUUGCCAACUCCUGCAUUGCACCCAGACCAGCUGAGCUGGACCCCUGGGGUUGUCCUCUCCGCGGCUGCCCCUACCAUGUCCAGAGCCAAGCCUGACAAGGCCUGAGCCUCGAG